rnacentral:rRNA from 1 species
UACAGAGGGUGCGAGCGUUGUCCGGAAUCACUGGGCGUAAAGGGCGCGUAGGUGGCCUGAUAAGUAGGGGGGUGAAAUCCUGCGGCUUAACCGCAGGGCUGCCUUCUAAACUGUCGGGCUCGAGCACAGUAGAGGCAGGUGGAAUUCCCGGUGUAGCGGUGGAAUGCGUAGAGAUCGGGAAGAACAUCAGUGGCGAAGGCGGCCUGCUGGGCUGUUGCUGACGCUGAGGCGCGACAGCGUGGGGGAGCAAACAGG